GUGUACAUCUAUGUUUUUUCUUCGUGCCUAUCUACAUUCUUUAUUUCUUCCGCAGCAACGAAAUGUAUCCUAGGGGCGCCUGGGUGGCUCAGUUGCCUAGGGGCGCCUGGGUGGCUCAGUCGGUUAAGCGUC